AUGGCCUUCGGGCCAUGGAGGAAGCCGGCCUAAAAGGACAACCUGUCCAUGAGGCAUGAUGGACUAGAAAGAUGGUCACAGAUCAUGGAGCUGCCAACCUAAUUGUCCUGGAACUUCCAUAACUCCGGCCCUCAGCCGUCAAAAAUGCUAGAGCUGCUGCAGCUUCUGAAGAUUCACUUUUGCAGUCCUAUGGGAAGUCACCAGUUUGUCCUUUCAACAGUGUGCCAAAAGUGGAAAAACGAAGAGUUUAAGCAACUGUCAAGCAGGAAACUUUUUGUUUGUUUAUUUUAAAAAAAGAAGACUUAUCAACCCAGCCAAGAAAUUUUGUCAAAGUUACAGGCUGUCAUUCUUUAUAAUCGCUCUACUUUCUUUUUCUUUCUGAAUCCUGCAUUUUCAUGGAGGAUAGAUAAUUUUUGGCAUUAUCCCCAUUGGCUCGACUUAGCUCUGUUCCUUGGGGUCCUGCUGACUUUAUAAAUUUUCGACUCCUAAAUCCAAUGCUGGCUCACCCAGGAAAGAAAAAAGUAAACUGAACAAUAAAAUUCAAGCUGUAGCUUCCGUUGUGACUCAAGAAUAGAAAAUGUUGUUAAUGGCCAACAGCA